rnacentral:lncRNA from 1 species
CGCCCUUUGUGCACCAAUGAAUAUAGCAGAGCUAGAGUCCAUUCGUCAGGCCGCUGCCAAAAAGAAAAAGGUGAGUGGGGCCCCCACCCCAAAGUGCGGCCAAACUGAGGUCAUGCUCACCUAGCCCACAUUUGGAGGUACCUUGGAGCUGAACAAGGCUCCUAGGAAAGAAUCUUCGAUGCCAACUAAGAUGGUGGUGCCACUUCAAUCUAUCACGCUGGGGGAUCCUACCCUCUGACCUUUCACAUCCUCAUCCCAGAGGAGUUUGAGCAAGCCCCAAAUUUUAGUGUAGAUGUCUUCUCACCCGAUCGAUCUGCCAGUUGAAAUGUAUCCUCCUCUGAUGGAAGCUCUAUCGAACACCGAGGCCCUGGACACUAUGAGGGUGCAUGAUGAUUAUCAGCUCAUCGGAUCCCUGCUCUAGUCGACCUUACUAGCGAUCGACGUUGAAGCAAUGACCUCUAAAGGUGGAGCAUUCU